rnacentral:rRNA from 1 species
UAAGCGGAGGAAAAGAAACCAACAGGGAUUGCCUCAGUAACGGCGAGUGAAGCGGCAACAGCUCAAAUUUGAAAUCUGGCGUCCGCCCGAGUUGUAAUUUGCAGAGGAUGCUUCGGGGCCGCGGCCGAUCUAAGUCCUUUGGAACAGGGCGUCAUAGAGGGUGAGAAUCCCGUAUGUGACCGGCUGGCACCCCACACGUAGCUCCUUCGACGAGUCGAGUUGUUUGGGAAUGCAGCUCUAAAUGGGAGGUAAAUUUCUUCUAAAGCUAAAUACCGGCCAGAGACCGAUAGCGCACAAGUAGAGUGAUCGAAAGAUGAAAAGCACUUUGGAAAGAGAGUCAAACAGCACGUGAAAUUGUUGAAAGGGAAGCGCAUGCAACCAGACUUGUCGGCGGUGUUCCCCCGGUCUUCUGACCGGGUCACUCGCCGCCGGCAGGCCAGCAUCGUUUGCGACCGCCGGAGAAAGGCGCGGGGAAUGUGGCUCCUCGGAGUGUUAUAGCCCCGCGCACAAUACGGUGCGUCGCGAGCGAGGUCCGCGCUUCGGCUAGGAUGCUGGCGUAAUGGUCGUAUGCGGCCCGUCUUGAAACACGGACCAAGGAGUCUACCAUCUAUGCGAGUGUUCGGGUGUCAAACCCCUACGCGCAAUGAAAGUGAACGGAGGUGGGAACGCAAGUGCACCAUCGACCGAUCCUGAUGUCUUCGGAUGGAUUUGAGUAAGAGCAUAGCUGGUGGGACCCGAAAGAUGGUGAUCUUUACUUGAAUAGGGUGAAGCCAGAGGAAACUCUGGUGGAGGCUCGCAGCGGUUCUGACGUGCAAAUCGAUCGUCAAAUUUGGGUAAAGGGGCGAAAGACUAAUCGAACCAU